CUUGACUUGUUGCUAUUGAAUAUAAUAUAAACCUACAAUAUAUAGAAUCCCCCAUUGGCCAUUACCCAUAUAAUUUAUUCUGAAAUGAUAAUGGUAAUGCAAGCAAAAAUGAAGGUGUAUGGACAAACCAAUGGGCAUAUAUCCCCACCACCUAGUGAGUGCACAGAACUUGGUCCAUCAACAAGUCCUUUCUAUGCCAAUCCUUGCUUGCUCCCAGGCCCAGCCUCAGCCUCCGCCUCCCACUGAGUAGUAAACAAAAGAAAGCGAGUGUGAAUGUUCUCUAGUACUACUAUUAUAUCUUAUCAUCUUAUGUCAUACACUACACCACUUAUCAAAUCUUUUUCACACAUUACUUCGUUUUUAGAGGAUGAUGUAGAUGUGCCAGUUGUGCACUAAAUACCAUAUUCUGCCAUGUGGAAUGCAUGUCUUUUGGACUCGAG
rnacentral:lncRNA from 1 species